rnacentral:rRNA from 1 species
GAUGAACGCUAGCUACAGGCUUAACACAUGCAAGUCGAGGGGAAACGACAUCGAAAGCUUGCUUUUGAUGGGCGUCGACCGGCGCACGGGUGAGUAACGCGUAUCCAACCUGCCCACCACUUGGGGAUAACCUUGCGAAAGUAAGACUAAUACCCGAUGAUAUCCCUAGACGAUAUCUGAAAGGGGAUUUAAAAGAUUUUAUCGGUGAUGGAUGGGGAUGCGUCUGAUUAGCUUGUUGGCGGGGUAACGGCCACCAAGGCAACGAUCAGUAGGGGUUCUGAGAGGAAGGUCCCCCACAUUGGAACUGAGACACGGUCCAAACUCCUACGGGAGGCAGCAGUGAGGAAUAUUGGUCAAUGGGCAGAGCCUGAACCAGCCAAGUACGCGUGCAGGACG